rnacentral:rRNA from 1 species
GGUAUAGGAAGCUUGCUUCCUAGAGACCGGCGCACGGGUGCGUAACGCGUAUGCAAUCUACCUUUUGCAGAGGGAUAGCCCAGAGAAAUUUGGAUUAAUACCUCAUAGUAUGUGAGAAUGGCAUCAUUUUCACAUUAAAGUCACAACGGCAAAAGAUGAGCAUGCGUCCCAUUAGCUUGUUGGUAAGGUAACGGCUUACCAAGGCAACGAUGGGUAGGGGUCCUGAGAGGGAGAUCCCCCACACUGGUACUGAGACACGGACCAGACUCCUACGGGAGGCAGCAGUGAGGAAUAUUGGACAAUGGGCGCAAGCCUGAUCCAGCCAUGCCGCGUGCAGGAUGACGGUCCUAUGGAUUGUAAACUGCUUUUGUACAGGAAGAAACACUGGUUCGUGAACCAGCUUGACGGUACUGUAAGAAUAAGGAUCGGCUAACUCCGUGCCAGCAGCCGCGGUAAUACGGAGGAUCCAAGCGUUAUCCGGAAUCAUUGGGUUUAAAGGGUCCGUAGGCGGUUUAGUAAGUCAGUGGUGAAAGCCCAUCGCUCAACGGUGGAACGGCCAUUGAUACUGCUAGACUUGAAUUAUUAGGAAGUAACUAGAAUAUGUAGUGUAGCGGUGAAAUGCUUAGAGAUUACAUGGAAUACCAAUUGCGAAGGCAGGUUACUACUAAUGGAUUGACGCUGAUGGACGAAAGCGUGGGUAGCGAACAGGAUUAGAUACCCUGGUAGUCCACGCCGUAAACGAUGGAUACUAGCUGUUGGGCGCAAGUUCAGUGGCUAAGCGAAAGUGAUAAGUAUC